rnacentral:rRNA from 1 species
UAGGGAGUCUUCCACAAUGGACGCAAGUCUGAUGGAGCAACGCCGCGUGAGUGAAGAAGGUUUUCGGAUCGUAAAGCUCUGUUGUUGGUGAAGAAGGAUAGAGGCAGUAACUGGUCUUUAUUUGACGGUAAUCAACCAGAAAGUCACGGCUAACUACGCGCCAG